rnacentral:rRNA from 1 species
UGGGGAAUAUUGGACAAUGGGCGAAAGCCUGACCCAGCAACGCCGCGUGAAGGACGAAAUCCCUCCGGGAUGUAAACUUCGAAAGUCAGGAAAGAAAUCCGUGUGGUAAAUAGCUGCAUGGGAUGACGGUACAUGACGUAAGCCCCGGCUAACUACGUGCCAGCAGCCGCGGUAAUACGUAGGGGGCAAGCGUUGUUCGGAAUUACUGGGCGUAAAGGGCGCGUAGGCGGCACAGCAAGUCGGGAGUGAAAGCCCGGGGCUCAACCCCGGAACUGCUUUCGAAACUGCUGAGCUAGAGUACAGAAGGGGCAACCGGAAUUCCCAGUGUAGCGGUGAAAUGCGUAGAUAUUGGGAAGAACACCUGAGGCGAAGGCGGGUUGCUGGGCUGAUACUGACGCUGAGGCGCGAAAGCCAGGGGAGCAAAC